rnacentral:rRNA from 1 species
CCUACGGGGGGCUGCAGUGGGGAAUAUUGGACAAUGGGGGGAACCCUGAUCCAGCCAUGCCGCGUGUGUGAAGAAGGCCCCCGGGUUGUAAAGCACUUUCAGUGAGGAAGAACGCCUGGUGGUUAAUACCCAUCAGGAAAGACAUCACUCACAGAAGAAGCACCGGCUAACUCCGUGCCAGCAGCCGCGGUAAUACGGAGGGUGCGAGCGUUAAUCGGAAUUACUGGGCGUAAAGCGCGCGUAGGUGGCUUGAUAAGCCGGUUGUGAAAGCCCCGGGCUCAACCUGGGAACGGCAUCCGGAACUGUCAAGCUAGAGUGCAGGAGAGGAAGGUAGAAUUCCCGGUGUAGCGGUGAAAUGCGUAGAGAUCGGGAGGAAUACCAGUGGCGAAGGCGGCCUUCUGGACUGACACUGACACUGAGGUGCGAAAGCGUGGGUAGCAAACAGGAUUAGAUACCCCAGUAGUC